AUUGAACGCUGGCGGCAUGCCUAACACAUGCAAGUCGAACGAGUGGCGGACGGGUGAGUAAUGUCUGGGAAACUGCCUGAUGGAGGGGGAUAACUACUGGAAACGGUAGCUAAUACCGCAUACCAUCAUAUAUGCCCAUAUGGGAUUAGCUAGUUGGUUGGGUAACGGCUCACCAAGGCGACUAUCCCUAGCUGGUCUGAGAGGAUGACCAGCCACACUGGAAAGGAGACACGGUCCAGACUCCGACGGGAGGCAGCAGUGGGUAAUAUUGCACAAGGGGCGCAAGCCUGAGGCAGCCAUGCCGCGUGUAUGAAGAAGGCCUUCGGGUUGUAAAGUACUUUCAGCGGGGAGGCGUUACCCGCAGAAGAAGCACCGGCUAACUCCGUGCCAGCAGCCGCGGUAAUUC
rnacentral:rRNA from 1 species